GACGAACGCUGGCGGCGUGCUUAACACAUGCAAGUCAAGGGGGCCCGACGCAAUGGGCGAACCGGCGAACGGGUGCGUAACACGUGAGCAACCUACCGAAGUGUGGGGGAGUAGCCGGCCUAACGGCCGAGUAAUACCGCAUACGAUUCCGAAGAGGCAUUUCUUUGGAAUGAAACCUACGGGGUACUUCGAGGGGCGUCGCGGCCUAUCAGCUAGUUGGUGAGGUAAACGGCUCACCAAGGCAACGACGGGUAGCUGGUCUGAGAGGAUGGCCAGCCACAUUGGGACUGAGAAACGGCCCAGACUCCUACGGGA
rnacentral:rRNA from 1 species